rnacentral:rRNA from 1 species
CGAACGGGGAGAUUCAUCGUCAGCGGACGCCAGCUUCGCGUCGAUCGGCGAUGUCCCACGGGGGCCCUCGCGGCUCUCAGCGCAGGCACGCUGCCGUGCGCCGAUGUAUCCGGCUUCGCCAUCGUGCACUUCUCCCCUUGUAGAACGUCGCGACCCGCUGGGUGUCGGUCUACGGCCCGGGUGCGGUGGCUGACGCGCCGCCGGUAAAACGACGCGCGUAAAACCCCCGGUCGCCCGGCCGGCUGCCCGGUGGUACGCGCAAGGUAUCAGGCCGCAUACAUUGGUGCAUCGAGGUUGUCGCAAGCGCGCGCCACGGUAAACGGAGGUACGGACCUAGCGCCGUCACCGGUCCUGGCCCACUGUUGGUCGUACGGUUAACCUUCGACAGGCCUACGAACGUCCCAACAUGUCGAGGGGUCUCCCGCUCGUUGGCGACCGAUACCGGUCAGCGACGCUACUACUUUGGGUAUUUUUAUGACCCGUCUUGAAACA